CAUAGAGGACACUGGAGUGUACUGGUGUGAGUCCAGAGAGGGAGCAGCCAGCAGCAGCAUCAACCUCACUGUCUCUGGUGGAUCAGUGAUCCUGCAGAGUCCUGUCCUCCCUGUGAUGGAGGAAGAUGACGUCACUCUGAGCUGUCAAACAAAGACUUCCUCCAACCUCCCAGCUGCUUUCAUUAAAGAUGGCUCCCUCAUCAGGACUGAGUCUGCAGGUCACAUGACCCUCCACCAUGUGACCAGCUCUGAUGAAGGUCUCUACAAGUGUAACAUCAGUGGUCAUGGAGAGUCUCCAUCCAGCUGGAUCUCUGUCUCAG